GGCAGGACUUUUAACCUUGAUAAUCAUCUUUAAAAAAAAAUAAUGAUAUAAUUCUUACAGGCCCUGAAAUUCUUAGAGGUCAUAUAUUCUUCGGUUUAAAUUGGUUGAAUUAUUGGAUAUUCUGUAAAUAAUUCUUUGGUAUGCUUGUGGAUGACCAUCCUUUUACUUGAGCUUUGUUCAAGAACAGUAGAUAGGCAGGUAGUCAGAGCUGAGAACCUCAAACCUAAUACCAGAUUGACCUGCUAUGAAUUAGGCAUGGCAUCUUGGGGUGUUUCUCAAAUUUAACCAAGUUAAUUUUCUAUUUCUUAAAGUUUGAUAUAAACUUUAUGGCCCUUAGUUAUAAGAUAUAUGAAAUUAACGCAUUCGAAAACAGAAUUUAAACAUUAAUGGGCUGGAUGCUACUGUUUUCUAGAAGUAAACAUAGUACUGGCUGCUGUUCAAUAAAUGUUAUACACAUAUGGGCUUGUGAUUGUGAAGUUUUACAAUCUGGACAACAGUACAGUUAUCCAGAACUUUAAUCUUUUGCAGUCCUUAAGACUAUUGAAAUGAGGGGAGGGGCUCUAAAUUCUCCAUAAAUUUAAACACUCUAAAAGGGUGUUUUUGGACUGUCUGCAAAUCCUUCUGUGAAGAAUUCUAUAUAACAUUAUCUCCAAACAUUCUUUCAGUGAGUAUUUCAGAGUCUUAGAAUUAACAUUCUUUUCAGAAAAACUUCAGUUUUAUUUGAUCUAGAACUUGGUUGGCCAGUAGUUAACUAAAUUGGGUUAAAAGUUGACUAUUUUGUGAAUUUCCAACA
rnacentral:lncRNA from 1 species